AGUGAACGCUGGCGGUAGGCCUAACACAUGCAAGUCGAACGGCAGCACAGUAAUCGCUUGCUCUUACGGGUGGCGAGUGGCGGACGAGUGAGGAAUACAUCGGAAUCUACUUUUUCGAGGGGGAUAACGUAGGGAAACUUACGCUAAUACCGCAUACGACCUACGGGUGAAAGCAGAGGAUCUUCGGACCUUGCGCGAUUGAAUGAGCCGAUGUCGGAUUAGCUAGUUGGCGGGGUAAAGGCCCACCAAGGCGACGAUCCGUAGCUGGUCUGAGAGGAUGACCAGCCACACUGGGACUGAGACACGGUCCAGACUCCUACGGGAGGCAGCAGUGGGGAAUUUUGGACAAUGGGCGCAAGCCUGAUCCAGCCAUACCGCGUGCGUGAAGAAGGCCUUCGGGUUGUAAAGCCCUUUUGUUGGGAAAGAAAACCAGCAGGUUAAUACCCCGCUGUUAUGACGGUACCCAAAGAAUAAGCACCGGCUAACUUCGUG
rnacentral:rRNA from 1 species